rnacentral:misc_RNA from 1 species
AAAAUGCGAUACUUGGUGUGAAUUGCAGAAUCCCGUGAACCAUCGAGUUUUUGAACGCAAGUUGCGCCCGAAGCCAUCCGGUUGAGGGCACGCCUGCCUGGGCGUCACGCAUCGCGUCGCCCCCCAUCAUACUUCCCUUAAGGGUAGUCGUGGUGGUUGGGAGCGGAGACUGGCCUCCCGUGCUGGUUGUGCGGUUGGUCAAAAUAGGAGUCCCCUUCAGUGGACACACGGCUAGUGGUGGUUGUAAAGACCCUUUUCUUCUGCUGUGUGUCCUGAGCUGCUAGGGAAACCCUCAAAAAAGACCCCAUUGUAUCGUCCGAAGACGAUGCUUCGACCGCGACCCCAGGUCAGGCGGGACUACCCGCUGAGUUUAA